UACGUAGGGGGCGAGCGUUGUCCGGAUUUAUUGGGCGUAAAGAGCGUGUAGGCGGCCAGGUAGGUCUGCUGUGAAAACUCGGGGCUCAACCUCGAGACGUCGGCGGAAACCAUCUGGCUAGAGUCCGGAAGAGGAGAGUGGAAUUCCCGGUGUAGCGGUGAAAUGCGUAGAUAUCAGGAGGAACACCGGUGGUGUAGACGGCUCUCUGGACCGUAACUGACGCUGAGACACGAAAGCGUGGGUAGCAAACAGG
rnacentral:rRNA from 1 species